UACGAACCGUCCAAACGUUAUUCGGAAUUACUGGGCUUAAAGGGUACGUAGGCGGCGCUGUUAGUCGGGUGUGAAAUCCCACGGCUCAACCGUGGAACUGCGCCCGAUACUGCAGUGCUUGAGGGAGACAGAGGUAAGCGGAACUGAUGGUGGAGCGGUGAAAUGCGUUGAUAUCAUCAGGAACACCGGUGGCGAAAGCGGCUUACUGGGUCUCUUCUGACGCUGAGGUACGAAAGCUAGGGGAGCGAAGGGG
rnacentral:rRNA from 1 species